rnacentral:rRNA from 1 species
AGUGAACGCUGGCGGUAGGCCUAACACAUGCAAGUCGAACGGCAGCACAGUAAGAGCUUGCUCUUACGGGUGGCGAGUGGCGGACGGGUGAGGAAUACAUCGGAAUCUACUUUUUCGUGGGGGAUAACGUAGGGAAACUUACGCUAAUACCGCAUACGACCUACGGGUGAAAGCAGGGGAUCUUCGGACCUUGCGCGAUUGAAUGCGCCGAUGUCGGAUUAGCUAGUUGGCGGGGUAAAGGCCCACCAAGGCGACGAUCCGUAGCUGGUCUGAGAGGAUGAUCCGCCACACUGGAACUGAGACACGGUCCAGACUCCUACGGGAGGCAGCAGUGGGGAAUAUUGGACAAUGGGCGCAAGCCUGAUCCAGCCAUACCGCGUGGGUGAAGAAGGCCUUCGGGUUGUAAAGCCCUUUUGUUGGGAAAGAAAAGCAGCAGGUUAAUACCCCGCUGUUCUGACGGUACCCAAAGAAUAAGCACCGGCUAACUUCGUG